UACGAAGGGGGCUAGCGUUGCUCGGAAUCACUGGGCGUAAAGCGCACGUAGGCGGAUGUGUCAGUCAGGGGUGAAAUCCCGGAGCUCAACUUCGGAACUGCCUUUGAUACAGCACGUCUUGAGUCCGAUAGAGGUGGGUGGAAUUCCUAGUGUAGAGGUGAAAUUCGUAGAUAUUAGGAAGAACACCAGUGGCGAAGGCGGCUCACUGGUCCGGUACUGACGCUGAGGUGCGAAAGCGUGGGGAGCAAACAGG
rnacentral:rRNA from 1 species